CCCCUUUGUGCUGCCAGCAUCCCUCCACCACCCACCCGUGUGCAUCCCAGGGUGCGCUGGAGCCGCGGAACUUCCUGCACCGACAGCUCAGACGGUCACACCCUCAUCUCUGAGCAGCCUCUACCACUCACACCCUGCCUGAGCAUCCUGAGGCAACCCCGCUGUGACCGGGCCAUCGUGGGGAGGGGGACAUUGCAGGCUGCGGUCCUGCACCCACCGUGACUGCGCACAUGCUCAAUCUUGUCUCCUUUCUCGCGGAAUUAGCGUGACACAAUUAAGGCAUCUCGUUAUUCGGCAUUAUUUACUCCAAAGGCAGCGCGGGGCCGGCCGCGGGGAGCUGGCAGCUCGGCGUUUCGCACAUCAUUAUGUUCCCCUCGCAGCUUUGAAGUCGGAGAGCCGAGGCAGCGCCGAUUCCCCCGGCGGACUCCCGCGCCGGGCGGAGGCGGAGGCGGUGGCAGGAGGGCCCCGGGGAUGCCGUGUGGCACCCGCCAGUUCCUUCUUGUCCCGGCUGCUCAUCCUGGGAGCGCCCCCCGAAGCCAUCCCCGCAUGGCUCCUGGCCAUCCCGGGCUGCGGGAGUGCGGACAGACAUCCCUGCCCGCUGCCCAAACGCGUUCCUUUUCCAGGCACAGGGAUACCCCCUUGGCACGGCACCAGCUUGUGCAGAAGGGAAACAAGGCUCCCAAAGCCCUGGUGCCUCGCUGUGCUCCAUCCCUGGGAGCACUGGGGGCUCUCCCCGGAGUGGCAGGCCGGGAUGGGCGCACAGGGACACCGGGGCUCCUUUGAUGCCGCGGGUUUAUUUACAAAUGGCGUGCGAUAUCCUGUUCCUCCUGGCGCAGCGGGAAUUGAGCAGCAGAGGCCGCGGGUUUGCUCAGCCUGCCAGGCCUCCCCAGGCAGCGCCGAACCCAAAGGCUCCUUCACCUUUCCUUCUUCUCAGGACUCAUUCCACCCCUUUUUCGAUCUUCCUCUGCCUUUGCUGCUUCUCCUUUUUCCAGCGUGACUUUCUGCUCUGUGCUGGCAGCACGAAUCCUUUUAUCCCUCCGUGCCCACGCAGCGGGGCUGGAGGAUGCUGCCUGGGCAGAUGGGUUAUCCCCAAGGUUAAGCAGCAUCUCGGCGUCCCUCCCGGGCACCGCUUGCCUCCAUCCUCGCUCUAAGGCUGGAAGAUCUGCCAGCAUGCCUGGCUCUGUCCCGGCUGCAGGGAUU
rnacentral:lncRNA from 1 species